CGCUUGAUGGAGGGGAGCGGCAGACGGGAGAGUAACACGUGGGAACGUACCCUUUGGUUCGGAACAACCCAGGGAAACUUGGGCUAAUACCGGAUAAGCCCUUACGGGGAAAGAUUUAUCGCCGAAGGAUCGGCCCGCGUCUGAUUAGCUAGUUGGUGGGGUAAUGGCCCACCAAGGCGACGAUCAGUAGCUGGUCUGAGAGGAUGAUCAGCCUCACUGGGACUGAGACACGGCCCAG
rnacentral:rRNA from 1 species